UUGGGCCUACUUAUAUUAGGCCUGUUUCACUCAAGGACCCGGCCCUUGUCCGAUUGGUAUUUUUAUUUGUCUCCAUUCUUGUGUAUGUAUAUUGUCAUGUAUACUGGAUAUUAAUUAGUGGAUGUUUCUUUUAUUUACCUUCCCAGUCUUCUCUGUCUUCGACAUAAACUGUUUAGGGAAGUUUUUAGAUUCAUCAUUAGGUUAACACAGCUUGCCAUUGGUUCUGUAAAGGAGAAGAUAUUUUCAAACCUUAGUUUCUUAUGAGUGAUAUACAAUUGUGUUAAGGUAGUGUUAUUACUGACUUCAUUAUAACGUGUUAGUACAAGGGUGGAGGGGAGACAUCAUGAGGAAGCUCCUCAACAUCCUCCAGAGAUUGGCUUGUAGCUGAUUCAACAAAAGGGAAGGAUUUUAAGACAACAAAUUGGACGAAAUUCUCUGAGAUCAAUGAUAACAUUAGCAAGUAAACAGGGUGAUGCUGGGGACAAACUGCGAUUGGAACUUGCGAUGUUAAAAGAGGAGGAGAAGACACUGUUAAAACAAACCUAAUAGUGUAUCCAGGUCUUGUGGACUUUAAAACCAAUUGAGGCAUUACUCUUGAAGUGGUCUCUUGAAGAGGUAAAGAAACAAUUGUGUCUUAAGGCUCCUGAGGUGAAGGUAGUUUUACCGUUUAAACUAUUUGAUGCCAUUAUGACCUUUGUGAUUUCCUUAUCUCUUGAUGAAACUCAUAGCCAACCUCUUUGUGCAUUCUUCGAUAAGUUUCUAAUGUUCAGAACAAGGGAUCCUUGGUUAUAUCUUAAGUGUGUGCAACCUUGGCAUGAUACUAUGAUUAUUUGUGCUAACCCUAACCCUCAUGUCAUGAGGAUAUUGUAUUUGUUUGUCCUUUCUUUGGUUUUCAAGGUUUGGAUUCGAGGUCGAAUCAUUUUCUAGAAGGGGAGGAUGAUACAAGCCAAAUUGCCUCCGAACCUUUGAAUGAGAUAUGUAUGAUGCUCGAGGUGCUUGAUGACUCCUUAGGACUUUUAAAAGAUGCCACAUGGAGGAAGAUUGCUAUUAAGGAGGGUCAAAGGACUUUGGAGGGGUUGAAGGAGUGCGAAAUGGGGCUCGAAAGCCCUUUGGAAGCAUCAUGCGCCCAAGGCACUUUGGAUCCGCUUUUGAUCCGCUCUAGCAUUUCAAGAGUGGGCCAAAACAGCCUCUAGUGGGUCUUUUCUUACAUUUGGGUCACUUUUGGUUAAUUAUGUAAUAUCUAGCCAAACUGUAAAUGCUUGGUAGCUAGGCUUAUUUCCAUAGUUUUUGGAUGAUAAU